rnacentral:rRNA from 1 species
CCACGGGCGGCACCAGUGGGGAAUAUUGCACAAUGGGCGCAAGCCUGAUGCAGCCAUGCCGCGUGUAUGAAGAAGGCCUUCGGGUUGUAAAGUACUUUCAGCGGGGAGGAAGGGAGUAAAGUUAAUACCUUUGCUCAUUGACGUUACCCGCAGAAGAAGCACCGGCUAACUCCGUGGCCAGCAGCCGCGGUAAUACGGAGGGUGCAAGCGUUAAUCGGAAUUACUGGGCGUAAAGCGCACGCAGGCGGUUUGUUAAGUCAGAUGUGAAAGCCCCGGGCUCAACCUGGGAACUGCAUCUGAUACUGGCAAGCUUGAGUCUCGUAGAGGGGGGUAGAAUUCCAGGUGUAGCGGUGAAAUGCGUAGAGAUCUGGAGGAAUACCGGUGGCGAAGGCGGCCCCCUGGACGAAGACUGACGCUCAGGUGCGAAAGCGUGGGGAGCAAACAGGAUUAGAUACCCCCGUAGUC